rnacentral:misc_RNA from 1 species
UCUCCGUUGGUGAACCAGCGGAGGGAUCAUUACAGGACUCGCAAGACUCCUACAACCCUGUGAACUUAACUAUAAGCACGUUGCUUCGGCGGGUGACUCGGAGGGGGUUCUCCCUCCCCGAGACGCUAAACCCGCCGGCAGCCUACUAUACUCUGUCUCUUUGCGUUGGCAUCUCGAGUACAAUCAAACAAGUUAAAACUUUCAACAACGGAUCUCUUGGUUCUG